GACGUAGGGUGCGAGCGUUGUCCGGAUUUAUUGGGCGUAAAGAGCUCGUAGGCGGCUCGUCGCGUCGACCGUGAAAACCCGCGGCUUAACUGCGGGCUUGCGGUUGAUACGGGCGGGCUAGAGUUCGGUAGGGGAGACUGGAAUUCCUGGUGUAGCGGUGAAAUGCGCAGAUAUCAGGAAGAACACCCGUGGCUAAGGCGGUUCUCUAGUACGGUACUGACGCUGAGACGCGAAAGCGUGGGGAGCGAACAGG
rnacentral:rRNA from 1 species